rnacentral:tRNA from 1 species
GCAAUAAUAGCUUAAAAUAAAGCAUUGGUCUUGUAAACCAAAGAUAGAUCUUUUUCUUUAUUGCU